GUAUAUAGGUAGUGUAGGGGUGUUAAUUUAAUGUAGUUUAGGGGUUAAUGCAGUGUAUCGGUAGUAUAACAGUUAAUAGUGUUAAAGGGAGUUGUUCUCUGUUAGACAAUGUUGGGACUGUGCUAAGAGUGUGUGAGUUACAAUCCUGAGUGACAGCUUUGCGAGUGUAUUAAUUUAGAACUGGGACAGGUAUGUUCUGGUUCUGCCUGAGAUCAGGGGUCUGUGAG